rnacentral:rRNA from 1 species
UUGAAGGGCUGCAGUAUAUUGACUGUACAAAGGUAGCAUAAUCCUUAGUCCUUUAAUUGGUGACUUGUAUGAAGGAUUGGAUGAAAUAUAAACCGUCUCUUAAUUAUAUUUAGAAUUUAAUUUUUUAAUUAAAAAGUUAAAAUAAAUUAGAAAGACGAGAAGACCCUAUAGAGUUUUAUAGAUAAAAUUAAUUGAGAUUAUUUGUAAAAAUUAAAAUUAAGAUUAAUUUAUUUAUUUUGUUGGGGUGACAGAAAAAUAUGAAAAACUUUUUAUAUGGUUUAAACGUUGAUAAGUGAUUAAAUGAUCCAGUAUUAUUGAUUAUAAGAAAAAAUUACCUUAGGGAUAACAGCGUAAUUUUUUUUUUUAGUUCUUAUAAAAAAAAAAGUUUGCGACCUCGAUGUUGGAUUAAGAUAAAAUUUAAAUGCAGAAG